AUGGAGGACGGGAGCACCAGCAUCUACCAAUGGAGGAGAAGAAAUACUUUUAUUAACCAAAACAAUAAUCCACUGAUAGAGAACAAGGAAGAUGGAAGACUACCAUCAUCUACCAAUGGAGGAGCAGGAGAAAAAUGGGGGAGCACCAGCAUCCAAAAGUGUCCCAUAAUCAGCCACAGGAGGAGAUAUCAGCAGAGGAAAGAAACAAUAUUAACCAAAACAAUCAUCCACUGAUGGAGGAGAAGAAAGAUGGAGGACGGGAGCACACAAACAUCUGCACAAGACGGAGAUGAAGAAAGACUUCUAUCAAUCAACCAAAAACAAUGUAAGUAAAGCCUCUUGUUUGAACACACAUUUAAUAUAAAAAUAGAUGUUAAUUACUGUACUAGUGUCUGUAAAAUGUCUUGUGUGUGAUUACAGAUUCACUUCAGAGGAGAAUCAGACUGUUCCAGAUGUUCAUCACCACAGCACAGAAUGAGACAGCAGUAGUAGUAGUAGUGUUUACUCUGACUGCUUUCAUUUCAACUAUAAAUAAAUAAAAAAUAAUAUCUUAAGAAAUCA
rnacentral:lncRNA from 1 species